rnacentral:lncRNA from 1 species
GUUAUUUAGCCUCUGAAGAAAUAACCAUAGUGUCAAUAUGAUAUUUGUGGUGGAGAUUUCCCACUCUCUACAUUUAUAUUAGAGUCCUACAAAUACAAUUGCUUUUAGAUGCUAGACAACAUAUGCUAGGUUUACGGCAGUCUAGUAAUUUCAUCUGUUCUUUUCCAUUUUGAAUGGCAGAUGUGGCUUCUACACACCCCACGUGCUCCUUUGCUACCCCAGCUGAUGCUUCCUGUCAUAUUUCAGAAGCACCACAGUGCAGGAAGGGACAAGAAAACCACCAGCCCUAUUAAACGGUGCUCGGUUUAUCCCGGCACAAGCCAGAGCAGGAGGAACACUCCGGCUUCCAGCAAUCUGCAAAGAAGUUCUCUGCUAGGUCAUGCCUCGCCCCUCCUGCCGCAAGCCCGAUGGAGCCUGAGAGCAUUUCUCCAGCCAAUGCACGCCCGGCUGCAACGAUGCAAAAAGCCCAGGGAAAAGGAGGAUGCCUGUGUUUUCAUCAUGAGACGACCUGUUUUGGAUUUUGGAAAUGUGGGGAGAAGAGUUAAUGCAGAGAAAGAAGAGACCAGACAGGAGAAACAGGAAGCCCGAAGAUACCCUGAGGUUUGGUAAGACACCAAAGAGUGAAUUAAAAUUAAAGCUGUAAGAACAUGCUUCCGGCCUGCCUCCUGCUGGUGCUCCAUUGAAAGCCAGCCCCCCC